GGAAUAUUGGACAAUGGACGAAAGUCUGAUCCAGCAACGCCGCGUGAGCGAUGAAGGCCUUCGGGUCGUAAAGCUCUGUCAGAUGGGACGAAAGAAAUUAACCUAACACGUUAAUUGUUGACGGUACUAUCAAAGGAAGCAUCGGCUAACUCUGUGCCAGCAGCCGCGGUAAGACAGAGGAUGCAAGCGUUGUUCGGAAUUACUGGGCGUAAAGCGCGCGUAGGUGGUCUUGUGUGUCUGGUGUGAAAGC
rnacentral:rRNA from 1 species